rnacentral:lncRNA from 1 species
GAGGAGGAGCCAUGGCGGCGUUGUUGUGGAGAUCAGGGGAGGCCGGGCACCGCCGGGCAUUUGGGAGGUGGGGCCUCCGGAGCUCUAGAAGCUGGCAAGCGAAGAGGAGGAGGAGGAGGAGACCAGGCUAGAGUUCUGCGCCAAUCAGGAGUGCAGGCUACGUCUCCUUGACUACGGAUCGCAUUUUUUUUUGUCCUCCCUCUCCACCCGGGCAGAACUUAAGGGCCGAUGUCGGUGCCAGGAAUCAGGACGUGAGCAGGCUGCCCUCCUGUUCCGGGGUGGGCAGUGGCUCAGGAGGGGGCCAGCGCGGGGGCCUCGGUUUGGCUCUUCCUGUGUGUGAACCUGGACAGGACACCGCCCUCUCUUUAGCCUCAGUUUCCCCUGGGGUGAAUUGGGGGACAGCGCUACCUGCCACGCGUCCUCGCUGUGCCCCUAUUGGACAGACUACUGCCCCGUCCUGAGGCCUCAGUUUCUGCAUCUCAGAACUGUGAAGAAGCAUAUUUGGAUUUUAGAGCAGACAGACAUCCUAAGAGAUCAGCUGAAGUUUUUAUCUAGACAGUUCCAGACCUGAUUAUGGCUCAUACAAGCCCUACCCCAGCCCGCAGCGUAUUUCCUCCUCCGUACAACAAGGAUAAGAGAAUCCCCCUCCCAUCCUCCACCUCCCCGGCUGAUCUGAAGACUCCGCGCCAUAAAAACGAAGACAGUGGCUUACCCAUAACAAGCAUUCAUUACAUGGAAGUUGUUCGUCUUAUAUUCAUAAAUGAACAACUUUCCCCAGGUUUCACAAGCGAUGAGUGGCUGACUCAGAACUUUGUGACCAGUUUGCCCACGGUGGCCUAAUCUGCCCUGGCCCACCUGUCUACCACUGUCUUCUCCUCGUGUUUAAUGAGUUCCAGUCAUGCCUCCUUUCUGCUCCUAGAGCACGCUGAUCUUCUUCCCACUCAUAUCCGAUGGCCUACUUGACAUCUCCUCUUGGAUUUCUUAAUAGGCAUCUCAAACCUAAGGGACAGCGUUUUGCCAUGUUACCCAGGCUGGGUUUAAACUCCUGGUCUCAAGUGAUCCACCUGCCUCAGCCUCCCAAAGUGUUGGGAUUACAGGUGUGAGCCACCAUGCCCAGCCCAGUUUCUGUGAUUUUGACCACAUUAAUACUUCAUGUAAGUGGAAUCAUACCGUAUUUGUUUUUUGUGACUGACUUAUUUAACUUGGCAGAAUGUCCUCAAGGUUAAUCCAUGUUGUAGUGUAUGUCAAAAUCUCCUUCCUUUUAAAGAUUGCCU